CAAGGAAUUUUCCCCAAUGGCCUAACGGCUGAGGGAGCAACGUCGCGUGCAGGACGACGGCCUUCGGGUUGUAAACUGCUUUUAGGGGGGAAGAUACUGACGGUACCCCCUGAAUAAGCCCCGGCUAACUCCGUGCCAGCAGCCGUGGUAAGACGGAGGGGGCAAGCGUUGUCCGGAAUCACUGGGCGUAAAGCGCACGUAGGUGGUCGUGUGCGUCGAUGCUGAAAGCGCCGGGCUUAACCCGGCGAGGUGCAGCGAUACGACACGACUCGAGGCAGGGAGAGGGUGGCGGAAUUCCGGGUGUAGUGGUGAAAUGCGUAGAGAUCCGGAGGAACGCCAGUGGUGAAGACGGCCACCUGGUCCUGUCCUGACACUGAGGUGCGAUAGCGUGGGGAGCGAACCGG
rnacentral:rRNA from 1 species